rnacentral:rRNA from 1 species
UGGGGAAUUUUGGACAAUGGGCGAAAGCCUGAUCCAGCAAUGCCGCGUGUGUGAAGAAGGCCUUCGGGUUGUAAAGCACUUUUGUCCGGAAAGAAAUCCUUGGCUCUAAUACAGUCGGGGGAUGACGGUACCGGAAGAAUAAGCACCGGCUAACUACGUGCCAGCUGCCGGCAGNAUGCGUAGGGUGCAAGCGUUAAUCGGAAUUACUGGGCGUAAAGCGUGCGCAGGCGGUUUGCUAAGACCGAUGUGAAAUCCCCGGGCUCAACCUGGGAACUGCAUUGGUGACUGGCAGGCUAGAGUAUGGCAGAGGGGGGUAGAAUUCCACGUGUAGCAGUGAAAUGCGUAGAGAUGUGGAGGAAUACCGAUGGCGAAGGCAGCCCCCUGGGCCAAUACUGACGCUCAUGCACGAAAGCGUGGGGAGCAAACAGGAUUAGAUACCCUGGUAGUCCACGCCCUAAACGAUGUCAACUAGUUGUUGGGGAUUCAUUUCCUUAGUAACGUAGCUAACGCGUGAAGUUGACCGCCUGGGGAGUACGGUCGCAAGAUUAAAACUUAAAUGAAUUGACGGGGUCAUAGCUGUUUCCU